AAAUGGACUCUCAGCAACGGGAUAUCUUGGCUCUUGC
rnacentral:rRNA from 1 species